rnacentral:lncRNA from 7 species
CCUGCCCGUCUGGGCCGCACCUUUUCGCUCGACACUGUACAGGAGCAGGGGUUUGUUUGGUCAUGCCUUUCAAUUCCGGCCAUACGCUGCUGUCGUGAUGACUGAUGAUAUGCUCAGGUCAGGGACGCGCGCCGCCCGCGCCAGGCCGGGAACGACGAUGGCAGUGGCUCGGUCAUCUGGUCAGAGUCAGACACGCAGUGAUUCUACUCUAUGCAUGCAUGCGCUGCCUCUGGAUCAUCGUGCAUGCAUCUUCGUCGACAGAACCUAACGUUCUGAACGAGGACAGAUUAGGACACCACCAAUGCAAUGCAAGGUAACAAGAGCAUUAGCUUCGAUUAGAAACAGCAGGCCAUAUAUGUCAAUAUCUUUU